rnacentral:miRNA from 1 species
GAAUUUGACCGAAAAAUCGCCAAAAAAAUCUGAAAUUCUGCCAAAAUCUUCAGAUUUUUGGGCGAUUUUUGCAGUGAUUUUCCUGUGAAUUCCGACCACCAAAUCGGCUGAUUUUGGGUGAUAAUUGAAGAGAAGAUUGUAGGCUUUCCAACAGUAUCAAAAUUCAGCAAAAUUGAUGGUCGGAUGUUGCCGGAAAGUUACCGCAAAAAUAGACAAAAAAACUGAAAAAUUUGCCCAGAUUUUCGCCUUUCCAGGUGGCCAACUUUGUGGGUUUAUUC